rnacentral:lncRNA from 1 species
AUAAAAGUGAUUACUCUGCUGCAAAGGUUUUUAUAGGGUUUAGGUCUUGCUAAGGGGGAUGUUUAGGGGAGAGAAGCUUUUUUUUAUGGUCAUGUAUAGGAACUGACACUUUGUCUGCAGCAAUCUACUUUACCUCCUAAACAUAUCGGUACUCAAAGACUCCAUCUGUUGGAUUUGUAUGAGUAAUCCUGGGGCUGGCAUUUCUUUGCCCUUCAUGUAGAAGCCUGGAGAGAUCCUUGUAACUCUGGAACAAGGAGGCUCAAGACAGACACCAGAUUCGAUCUUCAAAGGAGGCAAACCUGCUUUUAUCCAGCCUCAGCUGGAAGCUGUGUUGCAGCAGAAAGAAGAGAGACCCACCUAAAUGGUGCUGCCACUAAUGGAAGCCCUGUGGAAAAGAGAUCAGCAAGAUACUAGUACAGUCACCAGCUCUUUCCUGCCCUUCCUCCAGCUCUCUCCCAGGCACUGCCCCCAUUUUGAGGCACCGAUUCGAGGAGAAGUCUGUCUCUUUAAUUGCAUCUCCCAGAGAGGGUCCAAUCUCUGUCCCGCUGCAUGCUACGGUCCUCAAGUUGCUUGGCAGGCAUCUUCCAUCUCCUUGCCCACCAGCCUAUGUGUUGGAUCUUUGAUCUCCCCUCUGGAAGCCCGCAGCCCUGAGAGCCACCUUGGAUUCAAGAAGUUCUGUAUGGCCUCAGCUUCUGACGAUUGAGGUCCUAACUUUUUUCACCCUGAAAGAACUAAGAUGAAGAUGUGAAUGGCCUUGCUUUUAUUCAAAUGAAUGCAGCCCUUUUUCCCCAUUUAUUUUAGUGGCUGUGAUUUUUCAGGGCUCUCUUUGAUUUUCUUAUAAUGAAAUCCACUGAGGAGAGAAUGGCAAAAUUUUGUAAGAAAAUUGUUUGCUUGAUGGAAUAUGCAGGUUAAAGCUAUUUUAAUCAAAUUCCUAAAUGCUUUUAAAAUCAAACAAGCUAACAGCAAUAACAAAGGUACUGUACAAGGGCCUGGACUUACAUGUCAGGAACAUGAAUAAAAUGAAGCGUGUCCAUUCUUUUCCUCCCAUCCAUUCUCA